UUUGCAUCGACGGGUUUCACUGCCCACCGGUGAACCGGAGGGCGUGGCGUGCGCGUAGGGGUCUCGCCAGAUGUAGAGGGUUUAAAGUGGAUUUGCGAUGGGGCCAGCUCCUUCCGUAUUAGGUAGCCGGAAAGCAUCCCAAAGAGCGUGCGCCAUCUCUCCUUCCCGUUUUCUUCUUGAUUUAUGGCGGUUUCUUCUUUCUUGAUUUAUGGCGGUUUCUCGUUCUUCAUAUUAUGGCGCCUAAAAGGGAAAAGCCGUCUGCGUCGUCGAUUACAGAAAGAAAUGUCACCCACGAAGCAGGGCAAUGCUUCUACGUCCGGCGAUGAGAAGAUGGUGUGGCGGCAUUUCAUCGGUGUGGGCGGAAAAGGACCGUCCGCUAUCUCGGUUCUCACUCAUGGCAGGCAAGAUACACUCACUCCCUGCUAUUGUUUGCUGGGCUUGAUACAUCUCUAUCUCUCUCACUUUUGAGGGCGUCCGUUCGCGUCCUCCUUUGGCCGGCAGCCAUCGCCGGUGUGUGAUGAUUGUUCGAAGCCCUCUCCACCCUUCAAUUGUCUUUGUUUGUUGUUUCCUAUUGGGGUUUCUCUAUAGUCCGUGGGGUUUAUCAUUUCAGGCUGGGGUCCUUCAUUUAGGCACUGGGCUGGGGUUUUCUUUGAGGUUUUGGUUGGGUUCUUCCGUUGAGGUUGUUGCUGGUUUUUAACAUUUGGUUCGCCAUUGGGUCGGAUGCUUUGGUCACCACUUGGGUCGCCGCUUUCGCUUUUGGUUAGUCCACCGCUUGGGUCCCUGCUGGUUCGGUUGUGGGUCACCGCUUAGGUCGUUGCUGUCGUUCUUACUGGGUCUACCGCCUUCCGUCGUCCCUUAGGUUGCUGUUGGGUCUGCCACUUGUGUCACUCUUGACAUCUGUCGCUUGGGCAUGCCGUUUUGUUGAUCUUGCUGCUGAGUCGCGACAACCGCUUCAGAUUGCUGCUAGAUCGCCAUUAUCGUCUUUGGGUUUGUUGCUGGGCCGUCACUGUCGAGAUGACUGCUGGGUGCUAUGAUUAUUGUUGUGCAUUCAUCGCAUCUAGCGUGCGGCUAUUCAAAUUCCAACCAGCCCGUCCACAGAGAUUGGGUGUUUUGUCAGCUUUGAACAUUAAAUUUCUCAUGGAUGGGGAAGGUGGGCAUUCAAGCUGUUGGGCAUUCUGCAACAUGCCUGAUACUCACGAUUUACUGCCUCAUUUCUGUUUGGUUUGUUGGUGGUCUCACUGCAUAAUAGUGCCAACCAGGGAAAGGUGAACGGUGGUUGUUGUUGGAUUGAUCGUGCGCGCUUUUGCUGUGAGGGACAUCUCAGGAACCUCAAAAGCAUUGCUGAAUGAUCAGGUUCAAUACCACAGUCAUCCAAGAUUUCAAGCAUCAAACUGAGGUCAAUUCCUCAAAACAUUUUCUGUGCAAUCAUAUUACGAGAAACACCCGCAGAAAAUCCCAUGUUCGACAUGAAUUCCUCCAAGCGCUUUGCAUUUGUCAGGUAGAGGUCGCCAUCGAAAUUACUUGUGCAUUGAUCCAAGCUGUUACAUUUUGGAUUAUCACAUACCCUUCAGUUGGUUAUUACUGGUCUGCUUAUAAGAUCUUAUGGUACAUCUUUUUGCUAUUUUCUAUGCUCAUCUUGGGAUGCUGGUGGUCUCAUUAACUCCAAACGCUCAAAUUGCUGCUAUCCUGCAAUCUGUUAUGUACUCUAGGAAGUAGUCAUUCAGAGUUGCAUCGUAUUCAAUGCAUCCAACAUCUACUCAGAGUACCCAACCUAGUGAUAAUCAAAGGACAUGCUUUCACUAAACUCAUUUUAGGUGGCAGAUCACUCUUGAUCCAAGGAAUGAGCUAAAAGACAUUUCUAACCCAUGCAUGAUGGGUGAAGCAAUUAAGAUGUGGUAGGGUAAAAAAGGCUGCUCCUUGAUGCUUGUAGAAGAUCAUCUGAAACCUCAUCACAUCAGGCAAACAAUCGCAUACUGAGAAUAGCCUCACAUCAGGCAAACCCUUCAUGACUAAUGUUUAUCUGACUAAUUACACAAGUAACUAAUUAACCUCGGAUGUGACCUUUAAGAAAGAAAAUAGUUAUGGGAUUGUGCUAAUAUUCACUAAUGAGUUUAACUCUUUUCU